rnacentral:rRNA from 1 species
UGGGGAAUAUUGCACAAUGGGCGCAAGCCUGAUGCAGCCAUGCCGCGUGUAUGAAGAAGGCCUUCGGGUUGUAAAGUACUUUCAGCGGGGAGGAAGGGAGUAAAGUUAAUACCUUUGCUCAUUGACGUUACCCGCAGAAGAAGCACCGGCUAACUCCGUGCCAGCAGCCGCGGUAAUACGGAGGGUGCAAGCGUUAAUCGGAAUUACUGGGCGUAAAGCGCACGCAGGCGGAUUGUUAAGUCAGAUGUGAAAUCCCCGGGCUCAACCUGGGAAAUGCAUCUGAUACUGGCAAGCUUGAGUCUCGUAGAGGGGGGUAGAAUUCCAGGUGUAGCGGUGAAAUGCGUAGAGAUCUGGAGGAAUACCGGUGGCGAAGGCGGCCCCCUGGACGAAGACUGACGCUCAGGUGCGAAAGCGUGGGGAGCAAACAGG